rnacentral:tRNA from 2 species
UGGUCAGAUGGCCGAGUGGUUAAGGCGUUGGCUUAAGGCGCCAAUCUCUUCGGAGGCGCGGGUUCAAAUCCCGCUCUGGCCAU